GUUUCCCGCGUGAAAUUAGUGGAUUUCCCUCCAAAACUGUAGAUGUGUAUUUAAAUAGCUGUUGGAUCGUCACUCUGGUUCCAGCGGCUCUACUCUGAGGACACGAAUACGGUGAACAGUGGGACUUGUCUUCAGCUUCAGGUGGAACAGCUCUGACCUGUAUGGUGAUCAGACCCGGAGAGGAGACACACCUGGUCCAACCAGGUGAUGGACAUUUGAAAGGACGAAUCACCAAGAUGAGCCAAUCGAUGGAGACGAGCCGCCACAGGAACCUGAACCUGUACUUCACGAGGGGGAUCAAACAUGGCUGAUAUAUCUGCAGUUCACUGCUCGUUUCUCCAGAACGAGAGCAGCCAGGAGCUGAAAGUUGUGGGCAGAGGAACAGGCUGCUGAGGACGAGUUGGACGACGGUUUCCUGAAAUGAAUCCUGAUUUCCUGUAAAUCUAGUUUUUUGGACUGACAUGUUGUUCUCAGACUGUGAGACUCCCGAACAUCCUCAUCAAAAUAGACUCUUUGGUUUCUGUCCGUCUGUGAUGAAGCAUCAAAUGAGUCUCUUGUGAAACAGACCUGGUUCAGUUUGUUCACUUAAUUCACAUCAUCUUUCUACAAACUCCCCUGUUUUUUAUUGGCAUUUUGCUUUUAUUAAAGCAGAGAAGAUGGAAACAAUUAGGCAGCUACCGACCUACUCAUCCUGUACGAGAAGCUUGGUUUUUUAAACUGAGUACUUACUAAUAACAAAUAGAAGAUGAGACCUGGUGAGCAGAAAUGUACUAAUUUGAAAAAAAAUCAAAUGAGAAAACAUUUAAAAAUAUGUAAUGAAGAAUAUUUUUGAUAUUUUUUUCUUUGUAACCAAAUGGAAUCAAAAUAAAGACAUUUUCUUUGUAA